rnacentral:rRNA from 1 species
GAUGAACGCUGGCGGCGUGCCUAAUACAUGCAAGUCGAGCGAACGGACGAGAAGCUUGCUUCUCUGAUGUUAGCGGCGGACGGGUGAGUAACACGUGGAUAACCUACCUAUAAGACUGGGAUAACUUCGGGAAACCGGAGCUAAUACCGGAUAAUAUUUUGAACCGCAUGGUUCAAAAGUAAAAGACGGUCUUGCGGUCACUUAUAGAUGGAUCCGCGCUGCAUUAGCUAGUUGGUAAGGUAACGGCUUACCAAGGCAACGAUGCAUAGCCGACCUGAGAGGGUGAUCGGCCACACUGGAACUGAGACACGGUCCAGACUCCUACGGGAGGCAGCAGUAGGGAAUCUUCCGCAAUGGGCGAAAGCCUGACGGAGCAACGCCGCGUGAGUGAUGAAGGUCUUCGGAUCGUAAAACUCUGUUAUUAGGGAAGAACAUAUGUGUAAGUAACUGUGCACAUCUUGACGGUACCUAAUCAGAAAGCCACGGCUAACUACGUG